CCAAUUGAACUACAAUCCC
rnacentral:tRNA from 1 species